UGAGGAAUAUUGGGCAAUGCCCGCAAGGGUGACCCAGCAACGCCGCGUGGAGGAUGAAUGUCGUAAGAUUGUAAACUCCUGUUAGAGGGGAAGAAUAGUACCGGUUGGACCGGUAUAUGACUGUACCCUCAGAGAAAGCCCCGGCUAACUACGUGCCAGCAGCCGCGGUAAUACGUAGGGGGCAAGCGUUGUCCGGAUUUACUGGGUGUAAAGGGCGCGCAGGCGGGAUAAAAAGCCAGUGGUGAAAUCCUACAGCUUAACUGUAGAACUGCCUUUGAUACUUUUAUUCUUGAGUUCGGGAGAGAGAGACGGAAUUCCAGGUGUAGUGGUGAAAUACGUAGAUAUCUGGAAGAACACCAGUUGCGAAGGCGGUCUCUUGGUCCGACACUGACGCUGAGGCGCGAAAGCGUGGGGAGCAAAC
rnacentral:rRNA from 1 species